GAUGAACGCUGGCGGCGUGCCUAAUACAUGCAAGUCGAGCGAACAGACGAGGAGCUUGCUCCUCUGACGUUAGCGGCGGACGGGUGAGUAACACGUGGAUAACCUACCUAUAAGACUGGGAUAACUUCGGGAAACCGGAGCUAAUACCGGAUAAUAUAUUGAAUCUCAUGGUUCAAUAGUGAAAGACGGUUUUGCUGUCACUUAUAGAUGGAUCCGCGCCGCAUUAGCUAGUUGGUAAGGUAACGGCUUACCAAGGCGACGAUGCGUAGCCGACCUGAGAGGGUGAUCGACCACCCGGGAACAGAGACACGGUCCAGACUCCUACAGGAGGAAGCAGUAGGGAAUCUUCCGGAAGGGACGAAAGCCGGACGGAGCAACGCCGCGGGAGGGAUGAAGGUCUUAGGAUCGUAAAACUCUGUUGUUAGGGAAGAACAAAUGUGUAAGUAACUAUGCACGUCUUGACGGUACCUAAUCAGAAAGCCACGGCUAACUACGUG
rnacentral:rRNA from 1 species